rnacentral:rRNA from 1 species
ACCAAGGCGAAGACGGUAGCUGGUCUGAGAGGAUGAUCAGCACACUGGAACUGAGACACGGUCCAGACUCCUACGGGAGGCAGCAGUGGGAAUAUUGCGCAAUGGGCGAAAGCCUGACGCAGCCACGCCGCGUGAGCGAUGAAGGUCUUCGGAUCGUAAAGCUCUGUGGGGGGAGAAGAAGAAAGUCGGUGAAGAGCCGGCCCUGACGGUAUCCCCUUAGCAAGCACCGGCUAACUCCGUGCCAGCAGCCGCGGUAAUACGGAGGGUGCAAACGUUGCUCGGAAUCAUUGGGCGUAAAGCGCGCGUAGGCGGCUGAACAAGUUGGAUGUGAAAGCCCUGGGCUCAACCUAGGAUGUGCAUUCAAAACUGUUCGGCUUGAGUCUCGGAGGGGGUCAGAGAAUUCUCGGUGUAGAGGUGAAAUUCGUAGAUAUCGGG